UACAUAGGUCUCAAGCGUUGUUCGGAUUCAUUGGGCGUAAAGGGUGCGUAGGUGGCGUGGUAAGUCGGGUGUGAAAUUUCGGAGCUUAACUCCGAAACUGCAUUCGAUACUGCGGUGCUUGAGGACUGGAGAGGAGACUGGAAUUCAUGGUGUAGCAGUGAAAUGCGUAGAGAUCAUGAGGAAGACCAGUGGCGAAGGCGGGUCUCUGGACAGUUCCUGACACUGAGGCACGAAGGCCAGGGGAGCAAACGGG
rnacentral:rRNA from 1 species